rnacentral:rRNA from 1 species
UGCGUAGGUGGCGCCAUAAGUCAGGCGUGAAAUCUCGGGGCUUAACUCCGAAACUGCAUUUGAUACUGUGGUGCUUGAGGACUGGAGAGGAGACUGGAAUUCACGGUGUAGCAGUGAAAUGCGUAGAUAUCGUGAGGAAGACCAGUGGCGAAGGCGGGUCUCUGGACAGUUCCUGACACUGAGGCACGAAGCCAGGGGAGCAAACG